CUGAGACUUUAAGUCUCCUGAAGGAACGUUAAAGACGAUGACGUUGAUAGGCCGGGUGUGUAAGCGCAGCGAUGCGUUGAGCUAACCGGUACUAAUGAACCGUGAGGCUUAACCUU
rnacentral:rRNA from 1 species